CAGUAUCUAAAGAAGUUAUUGCCUCUCUAAUUGGUACAUACGAGGUAAGGUUAGUAUUUCUGUAUUCCCUUUUAUAACUUUCACUAUCAAACCAGUAUCUAAAGAAGUUAUUGCCUCUCUAAUUGGUACAUACGAGGUUAGUCAGACGAUAUGUGGAAUUGAACAGUACAAGCACUAAAGCCAAAAAUCAGUUCAACAGACGAUUUUCAAUGAAGAAGGAAAGUUACUCAGGAGCAAGUUAUGCGG